UCCUACGGGGGGCGGCAGUGGGGAAUUUUGGACAAUGGGCGAAAGCCUGAUCCAGCAAUGCCGCGUGCAGGAUGAAGGCCUUCGGGUUGUAAACUGCUUUUGUACGGAACGAAAAAGCUCCUUCUAAUACAGGGGGCCCAUGACGGUACCGUAAGAAUAAGCACCGGCUAACUACGUGCCAGCAGCCGCGGUAAUACGUAGGGUGCGAGCGUUAAUCGGAAUUACUGGGCGUAAAGCGUGCGCAGGCGGUUAUGUAAGACAGAUGUGAAAUCCCCGGGCUCAACCUGGGAACUGCAUUUGUGACUGCAUGGCUAGAGUACGGUAGAGGGGGAUGGAAUUCCGCGUGUAGCAGUGAAAUGCGUAGAUAUGCGGAGGAACACCGAUGGCGAAGGCAAUCCCCUGGACCUGUACUGACGCUCAUGCACGAAAGCGUGGGGAGCAAACAGGAUUAGAUACCCUGGUAGUCCACGCCCUAAACGAUGUCAACGGGUUGUUGGGAAUUAGUUUUCUCAGUAACGAAGCUAACGCGUGAAGUGACCGCCU
rnacentral:rRNA from 1 species